rnacentral:rRNA from 1 species
UAGGGAAUCUUCGGCAAUGGACGAAAGUCUGACCGAGCAACGCCGCGUGAGUGAAGAAGGUUUUCGGAUCGUAAAACUCUGUUGUUAGAGAAGAACAAGGACGUUAGUAACUGAACGUCCCCUGACGGUAUCUAACCAGAAAGCCACGGCUAACUACGUGCCAGCAGCAGCGGUAAUACGUAGGUGGCAAGCGUUGUCCGGACUUAUUGGGCGUAAAGCGAGCGCAGGCGGUUUCUUAAGUCUGAUGUGAAAGCCCCCGGCUCAACCGGGGAGGGUCAUUGGAAACUUGGAGACUUGAGUGCAGAAGAGGAGAGUGGAAUUCCAUGUGUAGCGGUGAAAUGCGUAGAUAUAUGGAGGAACACCAGUGGCGAAGGCGGCUAUCUGGUCUGUAACUGACGCUGAGGCUCGAAAGCGUGGGGAGCAAACAGG